CCUACGGGUGGCAGCAGUGAGGAAUAUUGGUCACUGGCCGAGAGGCUGAACCAGCCAAGUCGCGUGAGGGAAGACUGCCCUACGGGUUGUACACCUCUUUUGUCGGGGAGCAAAUCGAGUCACGUGUGACUCAUUGAGAGUACCCGAAGAAAAAGCAUCGGCUAACUCCGUAGCAGCAACCGCGGUAAUACGGAGGAUGCAAGCGUUAUCAGGAUUUAUUGGGUUUAAAGGGUGAGCAGGCGGAGGUGACAGUCAGCGGUCAAAUUGCGGGGCUCAAGCCCGGACUGCCGGUGAAACUGCAUACCUUGAGUGCGCGAGAAGUAUGCGGAAUGCGUGGUGUAGCGGUGAAAUGCA
rnacentral:rRNA from 1 species